AUGAAUCUCCUUGCCUGGAACUGUCGAGGAUUGGGGUUGGACUCGACGGUUGGGGAACUUAGGGACCUGAUACGCUCGUACAACCCAGCGGUGGUGUUCUUGUCAGAAACAAAAAAGAAAUCAGAACCUAUGAACAAGCUCAAAUGGAGUCUAGGUUUCUGGCAAGGGGUGGCUGUUAGUAGUAAGGGCAGGAGUGGAGGACUGGCUCUGUGGUGGAGAGAUGAUGUUGAGGUUUCAGUGAGACCGUGA
rnacentral:rRNA from 1 species